UGGUGUGAGUUGGAAGAGACCUUCAAGAUAAUCCAGUUCCAAACCUCCCAUGCCAUGAGCAGGGGCACUUUUCACUAGACUCUCUCAGCCUGUCGUUGGAGAGGAGUUCCAGCCCUCUGAUCAUCUUCAUCACCCUCCUCUGGACACACUCCAACAGUUUAGAUACGAGGAUGUCUUGCAGCUCAAUGUCAGAUGCUUUGCACAAGUCUAGGUGUUUACUGACUUUCCUGAUCUGUGAGAUAUGUAGCAGUUUGUAGUAGCAACUUGUAGUUUAUCAUCUUAUGCUGCCUCUGGUGUCUGAAUUAAUAGCAAGGAAGUUGCAGCUGGGGUUGAUGCAGGAGCGUGUCAGACCUGAAAGAUGGAGAGAUGGUAGAUAUGGAAUUUGUGAUAAAAAUUGGUAAGUCAAGGAUGAACAGUGAGGAACAGAUUCAGGAACAGUAAAUGCUACAUGACUGUGGAGAGGAUCUGCCAGUGGUUGAAAACAAUAAAAAUGUACAGCGUAAGUGUCCCACAGAAAUCUUGAUAUAUCAGAUGUAACUGUGAUACAGAAAAGCAAGCAAAUGCCUAAUGAAUAUAUAUAAAAACAAUGGAGGAAAACACAGGUUCUUUAGGUUAUGUGGUUUAAACUCAGCUUGCAAAUAAGUGCCACGCAGGUGGUCAUUCACUUCUGGGGUGGGAUGGGGGAGACAUUUGGAAGGAAAAAAAUGAAGGGAAAAAUUAUUAAACUUGUGGACUGAGAUAAAGACAGCUUUGUAGGUAAAGAAAAAUCUGUAUGCACACGCGAAGGAAAAGAAGGAAUUCAUUCACCAUUUCCCAUGAACAGACAGGAGUUCAGCCAUCCCUAGGAAAGCAAGGCUCCAUCAUGCAUAAUGGUGGCUUGUGAAAACAAGCACCACCCCUCUGAACGUCCUCCCCUUUUUCCUUUCUUCCCCAUAUCCAUAUGCUGACCAUGACACCAUAUGGAGCGGAGGAUCACUUUGGACCAGCUGUCCCAGCUGUGUCCCUUCCCAACCUCUUGUGUACUUUCAGCCUCCUUUUGAUUGGGGUGGUGUGUGAAGCAGAAAGGACUGUGCAAGAACAGCUCAGCAGUAAGGAAAACAUCCCUGUGCUUUCAACAUUGUUUCCAGCACAAAUCCAAAACAGAGCAUCAUACAAGCUACUGAGAAGAAAACUAACUCUGCCUUUAUUAGAGAUGGGAGUGUGAUCACUGUACACCAAAUUAGUGUUUUGAUUUCCUCAGAAAAUAAUAUAGUUUGUACACACUAAAACUACUCUUCAGAAUAAACCAUCAAAUGAUAAAUUACAGUCAUGUGGUUGCCUGCACCAAAACUGUGCAGCUGAUUUGAGCUAGUUUUUCACAGAUUUUCUGUCCAAGGCUUAUGAAGAACAAAAGCACAGAGCGACAUAUGUCCUCAGUAAUUAUUUUAAAACAAACAUAGUGGGAUGCUUCAGACUAAUUUUCAGUGAUGUCAGAUUUAUUGUGGAUUUUCUUUGUUCCUGUUUUCUAUUUUUUAUCUCUUUUUUUUCCUAUUCGCAUUAUAAAACACCCUUUGAGCAGAAUUAAAACUGUUACUCUAUAAUACAAUAUUGGAACUAAUAGUAGAGACUGACUUAAGAACGUAUUUGAUAUUUUUAUUUCUAAUCAUUCUUGCAAUAUGGUUUCUAGUAUUACUUGUCUUUCUUCUGCUUUUCAUUUUCAAACAAAUUCCUAGAAGUAAAGACACCUGGGAUCUGUCAAAAUUUUUUGCAUAACUAGAAGUAGUGUAAUAUGAUCUUGCACCAAAUCUAAAUCUGUAUUUUUCAUCUUGCAAAUAUUGAUAUCAGAAGUGUUUUGCAUUCUACCAGCCCAUAAGUUUUCCUCAGUUUUUUAUUAACCUUAUUUUUUUCUUGAGACCUUUAGGUUUUGCUUUUGCUGAUAUUUUUUCCCCCCUUCAGUGGCCAUUUUCUUCCCAGAGAUUUUGCAAUUUUUUCCCCAGAUUCAAAAGACUUAUUUGUGACAAUGACAAUGUUCUCUGGAUGAAAUAUGCAAUUUCUUUCUUUUUCCAGGUCAAGUGUAGUUUUUUCUGAGAAAAAAGAAAGAAAAUUAUGUUGUAGCGAUUUAACCUGAACAUAUUUUGUAUAUAAUUUCAGAAGGAUGAAGGGUGUUUUUAAGAAUGGGACAUAAUUUUUUCAGACCAACAGACCAAAAGGUGAAAUUGAAGCACUGAGGAAAUGAAAACAGUAUUUUAACUCCUGAAAUAUCAAACUGAUGCAGCAGAUAUCACAAACACACAGGACCAUAUGUUAUAUUAUAGGGAUAUGUAGAUAUAUUUUUGACUCCAGUUUACAAUUUGCAAGUACAUAAUCUACCAUGAACUUGUCCCAUCUUUUCCUAUUGUUCAGUCCUAAUUUGAUUGAAUCCUAAUGAAUACUAAACAACCACAAGUAAUCCAGCAGAAAUAAAGGUUUUAAAUAACAUGUGCAUUUUUGAAAAUUUAGGGCAUUAACUAAUAUGAGAAACAGAGAGAAAAUUUCAAGUUUUAAAGCAGGGAUCAUUAUGUAAUGUAUCAAGUCUAAUUAUUCCUUCUAAAACUGAAAAGAAGAAAAAUGAAAAAAAUGCUUUUAUGUAACAAAUAGAUUGUACAGUGUCACUGUUUUUCAUGUUUAAGUUAGACAAACUCAAAUGACAAUUAAACCACAAUUCAGAGUGACUAAGUAUUAAAAGAAGCAGACAAAGAUGGAUUGAAUGCAAAGGUUAGAAGCAAGAAAAAUACAAAGCUAACAUCAGUUUUAUUUACCGACUUCUUGAAUCUUAUGGACUAUGUUUCAUUUUAGAUUUACUAUAAGUGAUUGUUUCUGGCAUAAUGAUUUAUGGAUGAUUUGCUAUUUUUUAAGCCAAAUUUAAAAUGCUAAAAUUUCAUAAGAAACUCUUAUUUCAGCUUUUGAGUGUUCAAACUUAAAGGGGACUUAGUGAUUGUACACUGCUAAUAAUAUAAUUCAGUUCAUAUGUGACAAGUAAAACUAAACUGCAAUAUGUCAUCAUAAUGUUCUUCUGUAUUCUACGAUGAAUAAAAUGGAGAGGGAUUACUAUAGAAUCACAGAAUCAUUUAGGAUGGAAUGAUCCUCUACUAUGAAGAAGAACAUUUCGUUUUUUUCGCUUAUUGGAUUUUUUUAAUUGCUUAACCUCUGCCCAGCCAUCAGUUGGGGUUAUACAUUGCACAAUCACAUUAGUAUUACAUAAUGCAUAUAGAUCUUUCUGGUUGCCAUUUUAUUUCCCAUGAGGUUGGGUGGCUACAGUCCACUUCCUAGUUACCAGUGCCUAAUUCAAAAAAGACAUUUCCUUUUUUUCUAAGGAGAGAAAGAACCUGACUAAGACUAAAGGAAUGAUUAAAGUACAACAGUAAAAUUUUUUUUUUUUAAUUACAAAGAACUAGCAUCUUAUUUUUCAAUCCUACUUGGCAUUUUCACUUGACAGACCUUGUAUAUCAUUAAGCUGAUAAACAACACAUGAAGAAUAUAUUUUUUAGUGUUGACAAAGGACUCCUACACUGAUCC